rnacentral:rRNA from 1 species
GCCAUGCGAGUCGAACGUUCUUUAACCAUGUGAAGGACGUGGCAAACGGCUCAGUAACACGUAGUCAACCUGCCCUGAAGACAUAGACAGCCUCGGGAAACUGAGAUUAAUUUGUGAUAUACCUAGAUUUCUGGAAUGGGUCUUGGUAAAAAGGAAUAGGUAAGCAUGUUUGCUUAUUCGCUUUAGGAUGGGGCUGCGGCCGAUCAGGUUGUUGGUGGGGUAAUGGCCCACCAAGCCUUUGACCGGUACGGGCUUUGAGAGAAGGAGCCCGGAGAUGGACACUGAGACAAGGGUCCAGGCCCUACGGGGCGCAGCAGGCGCGAAAACUUCGCAAUGCGCGAAAGCGUGACGAGGCUACUCUGAGUGUUAUCCGCUGAGGAUAACUUUUCUCAGGUCUAAAUAUUCUGAGGAAUAAGGGGAGGGCAAGCCUGGUGUCAGCCGCCGCGGUAAUACCAGCUCCCCGAGUGGUUAGGGUGUUUAUUGGGCCUAAAGCAUCCGUAGCCUGCUUUGUAAGUCUUCAAUUAAAUUCAACGGCUCAACCGUUGAGCUGCUGGAGAAACUGCGAGGCUAGGAGGCGGGAGAGGCGGACGGUACUCCGUGGGUAGGGGCAAAAUCCUUUGAUCCAUGG